UCUUGAGCCCUGCAAGUGUCUAGACUGCUGUAUGUAGGUGCUUCAAGAUGUGGAAAGGAGCUACUACAACAAGAUAAGAGUCAGUGGAAAAAUCAGGGAAAAAAUAAACCUGAUAGAUGUUAACCCUCCAAGAUGCAUGCAGAAAUGUCAGAGAUACAACUAGACAUACAUUAGUGGAGACAGCUGGAAGACUAGACUGAUAGACAUUAACCUUUCCAACAGCAAGACUUACCACAGUGGACAACUGUCAAUAAUCAGUGUCACACUUCAUUAAGAGACUGGAUCAAGAUGAAGUUAUGUUAGUGUACUAGUCAUUUUGAAUACCAAAGGUAGCAGAAAAGUAAAGUAUUGAAGAGGUAUAUUCUUUUGAUUGUAUUUGGAGAAAGAUGAAAAUGCAGAAAGCCAGAUCUGUGAAGCACACACAAGACUGUUUAUGAGGGUAUAGGGUCUCCCACUCAGACACAUGGGUUUUCCUUGGAUGCUCCAGUUUCCUCCCUUCUUUUUCUCUAAUGUAACCAUUGAGACAGUUAUCUUUGAAGAUAUUCUAAUGUUAAUAUUUUUUAUCUAAUAAUUAUAAUUGAUAAUUUUGCUCUAAGGUUUUUUAUGCUGCUAUUACAAUUUUUUUCUGAAAUUUAACAAAUUUUAAGAUAUGUUGCACAUGUAAUCAUUAUUUAAUAUUAAAUUAAUAUUUCUGGGAUACAAAUUUUGUCAGCAGUUGUACCAGUUAUAAUUUGUAUAUUAGUUAAUAGUAAAUUCUGAUUAUUUACUAAUUGUGCACUUAAAUGAAUGUAUUUACUAUUAUACAGUAAAACUCGCUUAGUACAAACACGGAUACAGCGAAUUCAAGGAUAUAGCAAAGUCAUCUUGGAUCCCCAGCUAUAUAUAUAUAUUAAAUGAAUUUCUUAACGGUUACAUGUAUAACGUAUUACGGAUAUAGCGAAGUAAUUUCUUUGAUCCCUGCGACUUCGUUAUAACCGAGUUUUGCUGUAUACUGAUAUAACUAAAUAUGCAAGAAAAGUAAUUAAUUUUUAAUGUUCAUUGUAUUAUGAUUUGUGUUUUUAAAAAAUGUAAACUUUUGAUUUGAAAGUGUUAUUUUGUGAUUUGUUAAUGUUACAUGUACACUGUGAUUUGUUUAUGUAAAAUUAUAAGUGAAUGUGAAAAAAAGAAAACAAAUGAAAAAAUGAAUGGGAAGAGUUUCAAAAUAAAAAAGCAAAAAGAAAAAGAAAAGACAAGUAAAAAAAAAAAAUCAAAAGAAUCA